rnacentral:lncRNA from 1 species
GAGUCCUGAGCCAGCAGAGCUCAGGCCACAGCACCUGCACCCGUUUUCUGCUGCGGCACACAAGGGCUCUGUGCAUUCCUCAUCCAGAAGAUCUUAGAUUAGUAAGAUCAUGUUGGCCACGGCAUGGAGAAUGGGCUGGAGGUGGAGAGACUGGCGGCUGGAAGUCCAGUUAGGAGAUCGCUCCUGCACUGGGGAGCUGGUGUUAGGACAGAAGAUCCAAGACGCAUUUCAGAGAGCCCCUCUUCUUGGGCCUGUGAUUCCUCACCUGGAAGGGAGAAGAGUGGACUUCCUGCCUAGAGAACACCUUGGUAAACACUUUAUGGUUCCUGUCAUGAGAAGGUGUGCAGCUUAGGGAAAAAGCCUGUGAGCUCUGGAAUCAGAUGGAACUGGAUAUAAAUUUCAGUUUAGUGCUUGUUGGAUUAAAUGUGAUGCUAAUGGGUCUCACUAUGUUGCCCAGGCUGAUCUCAAACUCCUGUUCUCAAGCGAUCCUCCUACCCCAGCUUCCCAAAGUGCUGCCGUUCAAGUGAUGGAAUAGAAGUUUGGGGAGCUUAAGAACCUUGUCUAAGAUCACAGAAUUAGCAGGUGGUGGAGCUGGUGGAGCUGGUAUUUGAACCCUGGUCUAUGUGGCUUCCAGUACGCCACUCCCCUAUGCUGAGAUGCUUUGAAAUUGCAACUGCCACGAUCUUGCCCCUUGUGCCCUUUGAUGCCCCCAUGAGGGUGGACUCAGGGCAACAUUUCAGAUGUUAUUCCCAAAUCUCUCCCUGCUCCCCUUGGCUGAAUCCCUGAACUUCUGAAACAAGGCCUCUCUGUGGUUCCUGCUGUGGCCUUGAGGUAGGAUUUGACAAGUUGUCAAGUCCCGAGGUGCUGACCAACAUGCUCAUCUCAAGCUGAAAUAAUAAAAUAAAGAAAUCUCUCCU